CGUAACCAAUUCAAGAUGGCGGCAAAGGCUGGCAAGAAGGGGAAGAAGAAGGGGACCACGAUGGCCCUGACUGAUUUCCUGUCUGAUGAGACAGGAACAGCUCAGGGUCCUGGUUCCAGUUAUGUACUUGCUAAUAAAAGUAUGGAUUGGGCGGCUGAAAUGGAGGAGCUAGAUAUUGACUCAGAACCCACAUAUGGUAUGCCUGCAGUGGACCGUGCCAAACUUCCAACAGCUCCAAAAGCCUCCCGCGGUCCAGAAGACCUUGCUAAAGUUCCAAAAGAUCCGCCAUUCACAGCAUUCAUAGGAAAUCUACCUUACGAGGCUACUGAGGAAAAAAUUACAGAUUUUUUCAGAAAAUUACCGGUGGUAAAUGUACGACUACCAGAAGAUAAUGGAAGAUUGAGAGGCUUUGGUUAUGUCCAGUUUGAAACUAGGGAAGCCCUCAUAGAUGCCCUGUCCAUGUCAGAAGAGUCAUUUGGCGGACGUAAAGUGAGGAUUGACCUGGCAGGGGAAUCUCAAGGAGACAAUCGCAAAGGUGGUAGAAGAGAUGAUGGGCAGCCAGACAGAACAGAGGGAGACUGGAGAAGGUCCGAGGUCAGACAGGAGUCGUCUAAUUUCAGUGAUAGGGGACCUAGUAGGUAUGAUGAUAGAGGGCCAAGUCGGUAUGAAGAAAGAACUCCCAGUAAAUAUGAUGAUAGAGGUCCUAGUCGCUAUGAUGACAGGCAGGAUGACAGAGGUUCAGGGAGGUAUGGUGACAGGAGAGACGAUCGUGGGUUUGAUGAUCGCAGAGGUGAAGGAAGGUACGAUGAUCGUGGAGGAGGAUUCGGGCGAAGGGAUGACAGAGGGUAUGGUAGAGAUGACAGAGGAGGUUUUGGAGGAAGAGAUAGGUAUGACGAUAGGAGAGAUGACAGAUUUGGAGGUGGUGGAAGAGAUAGAUACAGUGACAGGAGAGAUGACAGAGGAGGUUUUGGUGGAAGAGACAGAUAUGACGAUAGGAGAGAUGACAGAUACGGAGGAGGUGGUGGUGGAAGGGACAGAUACGACGACAGGGAUGGAGGGAGGCGACAGUUUGGAGGAGGUUUCCGGAGAGAUGAUAGAGGUGAGGACAGAGGUUGGGAGAGAGGUGGAGGAGGUUUCCAUGGCGACAGAGAUAGGGGUGGUUUUGGUGGAGAUAGAGGCCAUGAUGAUAGGUAUGACAGACAAGACAGGCAGGAUCGGGAACCAGAGCCUCCAAAAGAACGGCCUCGUCUGCAUCUGCAGCCAAGGACAAAACCUGUUGAAAACACACAGGAUCCAAAACCAGUUGAGAACCAGCCAAGGCCUGAGAAACCAAAAGCUGCUUCAAUAUUUGGCAGCGCAAAACCAGUGGACACUGCACAGAGGGAACGAGAAAUCGAGGAGAAGUUGUUGAAGCAAAAGGUAGAAGCGACUCAGCCAAAAAGUUCUCUUGAGUCACGAGGAUAUGGCAGUUCACAUGGCUACGAAGAACCAAAGCAGAGAAGAUACGAUCAUGAUAAUAAAGAAAAUAGAAAUGUACCAAGUUCACGGCGACGCUCUAGUGAACGGUCAGAAGAAGGAGAUGGUCACAGGGAGAGAAGGUCCAGUGGAAGCUCAAAAGGGAAAAAAGGCUCAUUGUCAUCUCAGAGUAGAUCUCGGCAAGACAGCGGGGAACAUUCGGCACACCCAGAGGUGUUUUCAGGUGGUGAAGAUGAUAAGUCACACAACGCUGUAUCUCCAGAACACAGAGAUGAAGGGGUGAAACUUGUGCCUGCACCCAUUCCUAAAGAAAAUAUCUGGGAGAAAAGAAAGUCAUCACAGACAACACAGUCUCCACCACAGAAAACAGAAGAGAAAAAGACUUCAGCACAGGAGAGUAGUCAGACUGAUUCCCGAAAUACCAGUAUUCAGCAGUCACCUCCAAACACUCGACAGAGAAACCAGUCAAAUAGGUCAAAUAGAACAUCAUCACAGUCUAGUACAGAUUCAACUCCAUCAAAAAGAGAGGGAAAGAAGGAAUUUGUCCCUGCCGAACCUCCCAAAGAAAAUCCAUGGAUGAAACGUAAACAAGAACGAGAGCAGCAACAACCCUCUGGUAAAAAAAGAACCAGGUUCUGUGCCAGUAUCAACCCCACAAAGUGUUCCUAAUGCCUGGGCAGGUCGAGGUGGAGGGAGCGGAGAUAGAGGUAGAGGUCGGGGUGGCAGAGGUGGAAUUGGAAGGGGUCGUGGAGAACCUCCACGUCAAAAAGAGAAGAAGGAAAAACCCUUGCCUCAGUCUAUAGAUGAAAUGCCCAAGUUCGAAGAGAAGAAAGAUAAA
rnacentral:misc_RNA from 1 species